rnacentral:rRNA from 1 species
UACGGAGGGUGCAAGCGUUGUUCGGAAUGACUGGGCGUAAAGCGCACGUAGGCGGCUUGUUUAGUCAGGGGUGAAAUCCCGGGGCUUAACCCCGGAACUGCCUUUGAUACUGGCAAGCUCGAGUCCGGAAGAGGGUGGCGGAAUACCCAGUGUAGAGGUGAAAUUCGUAGAUAUUGGGUAGAACACCGGUGGCGAAGGCGGCCACCUGGUCCGGUACUGACGCUGAGGUGCGAAAGCGUGGGGAG